rnacentral:rRNA from 1 species
UACGUAGGUGGCGAGCGUUGUCCGGAUUUACUGGGCGUAAAGAGCGCGCAGGCGGUCGAUCAAGUCGAGUGUGAAAGCCCCCGGCUCAACUGGGGAGGGUCAUUCGAUACUGAUCGACUCGAAGGCAGGAGAGGGUAGUGGAAUUCCCGGUGUAGCGGUGGAAUGCGUAGAGAUCCGGAAGAACACCAGUGGCGAAGGCGGUCUGCUGGGCAGUUGCUGACACUGAUGCGCGACAGCGUGGGGAGCAAACAGG